rnacentral:lncRNA from 1 species
CAUCUGGAGUCAGCUUUCAGUAUAAUCUUUUCUUCCUGCAAGCCCUAGAGAUUUGGUCUGCUCACCUUUCUUCUUUCAGGCUGUCACCACCAAUUCUCCGUCCUAUGGUUCAUCUUCCACCAGAAUUCUGGGACAGAAUCUGUCCCUAAGGCUGGAGUGUAGUGGCCCCAUCACUGCUCACUGCAGCCUCGAUCGCCCCAGGCUUAAGUGAUCCUUCCACCUCAGGCUCCCAAGCAGCUGAGACCACAGUGCCUUUUAUUGUCUAAACUUACCCAGAAGCAAGUUGAGAAGGAAGCUUGGGAAAACGUUACCAGGGUUUAGCUUCCUAUGGUACAGAAAAGAGCUGAGAGAGAAGGCAAAUUGAUCUGAGAGCAAAUAGGUAAGUAACUGGCACAAUCAUAGAGCAAAGUAGUGUCCCAGCUGAAACACAGAAGAUAGAAAAUAGUUCUAAAUGCAAAGAUAAUGCUUAGUAAGCUACAGUAGGAGUAUUCAGUGUAACACUUCAUAUAGCAGAAUUCUUAUAGCCUGUUGGGAUUUAUUUUUUGGUACUUUACUGCAUUAGAUAUUGAAUUAAUUACUUUACAUGUGCUAAUUCUUUUAACCCUCUAUGAGGGGUUGUUAGGUGCUACUAUUCAUUUAAAACAGAAAAAAUAAGGCUUAACAAGAUAAAGUAAUUUUCCCAAAAUUAUUCAGUUAAUUAAGCAACAGAACUGAGAUUUGAACCAAGCUUCUACAGACUGUCAUGCUCUUUCCAUUACAUCAUGAUAUAAAAAUAAACUACCUCUAAAUAAGUGAAAUAUACU